CAGGGAUUGCCCUAGUAACGGCGAGUGAAGCGGCAACAGCUCAAAUUUGAAAUCUGGCUUCCUUUGGGGGUCCGAGUUGUAAUUUGCAGAGGGUGCUUUGGCGUCGGCAGCGGUCUAAGUUCCUUGGAACAGGACAUCACAGAGGGUGAGAAUCCCGUACGUGGUCGCCUGCCUUCGCCGUGUAAAGCCCCUUCGACGAGUCGAGUUGUUUGGGAAUGCAGCUCUAAAUGGGAGGUAAAUUUCUUCUAAAGCUAAAUACCGGCCAGAGACCGAUAGCGCACAAGUAGAGUGAUCGAAAGAUGAAAAGCACUUUGGAAAGAGAGUCAAACAGCACGUGAAAUUGUUGAAAGGGAAGCGCUUGCAGCCAGACUUGCUCGCAGUUGCUCAUCCGGGUCCGCCCGGAGCACUCUUCUGCGAGCAGGCCAGCAUCAGUUUGGGCGACCGGAUAAAGGCCUCUGUCAUGUAUCUUCCUUCGGGAUGACCUUAUAGGGGAGGCGUAAUGCGGCCAGCCCGGACUGAGGUCCGCGCAUCUGCUAGGAUGCUGGCGUAAUGGCUGUAAGCGGCCCGUCUUGAAACACGGAUCAAGGAGUCUAACAUCUAUGCGAGUGUUUGGGUGUCAAGCCCGGGCGCGUAAUGAAAGUGAACGGAGGUGGGAACCCUCUUCGGGGGGUGCACCAUCGACCGAUCCUGAUGUCUUCGGAUGGAUUUGAGUAAGAGCAUAGCUGUUGGGACCCGAAAGAUGGUGAACUAUGCUUGAAUAGGGUGAAGCCAGAGGAAACUCUGGUGGAGGCUCGCAGCGGUUCUGACGUGCAAAUCGAUCGUCAAAUUUGGGCAUAGGGGCGAAAGACUAAU
rnacentral:rRNA from 1 species